rnacentral:rRNA from 1 species
AAAUUGAAGAGUUUGAUCAUGGCUCAGAUUGAACGCUGGCGGCAGGCCUAACACAUGCAAGUCGAACGGUAACAGGAAGCAGCUUGCUGCUUCGCUGACGAGUGGCGGACGGGUGAGUAAUGUCUGGGAAACUGCCUGAUGGAGGGGGAUAACUACUGGAAACGGUGGCUAAUACCGCAUAACGUCGCAAGACCAAAGAGGGGGACCUUCGGGCCUCUUGCCAUCAGAUGUGCCCAGAUGGGAUUAGCUUGUUGGUGAGGUAACGGCUCACCAAGGCGACGAUCCCUAGCUGGUCUGAGAGGAUGACCAGCCACACUGGAACUGAGACACGGUCCAGACUCCUACGGGAGGCAGCAGUGGGGAAUAUUGCACAAUGGGCGCAAGCCUGAUGCAGCCAUGCCGCGUGUAUGAAGAAGGCCUUCGGGUUGUAAAGUACUUUCAGCGGGGAGGAAGGUGUUGUGGUUAAUAACCGCAGCAAUUGACGUUACCCGCAGAAGAAGCACCGGCUAACUCCGUGCCAGCAGCCGCGGUAAUACGGAGGGUGCAAGCGUUAAUCGGAAUUACUGGGCGUAAAGCGCACGCAGGCGGUCUGUCAAGUCGGAUGUGAAAUCCCCGGGCUCAACCUGGGAACUGCAUUCGAAACUGGCAGGCUUGAGUCUUGUAGAGGGGGGUAGAAUUCCAGGUGUAGCGGUGAAAUGCGUAGAGAUCUGGAGGAAUACCGGUGGCGAAGGCGGCCCCCUGGACAAAGACUGACGCUCAGGUGCGAAAGCGUGGGGAGCAAACAGGAUUAGAUACCCUGGUAGUCCACGCCGUAAACGAUGUCUACUUGGAGGUUGUGCCCUUGAGGCGUGGCUUCCGGAGCUAACGCGUUAAGUAGACCGCCUGGGGAGUACGGCCGCAAGGUUAAAACUCAAAUGAAUUGACGGGGGCCCGCACAAGCGGUGGAGCAUGUGGUUUAAUUCGAUGCAACGCGAAGAACCUUACCUGGUCUUGACAUCCACAGAAGAAUCCAGAGAUGGAUUUGUGCCUUCGGGAACUGUGAGACAGGUGCUGCAUGGCUGUCGUCAGCUCGUGUUGUGAAAUGUUGGGUUAAGUCCCGCAACGAGCGCAACCCUUAUCCUUUGUUGCCAGCGAUUAGGUCGGGAACUCAAAGGAGACUGCCAGUGAUAAACUGGAGGAAGGUGGGGAUGACGUCAAGUCAUCAUGGCCCUUACGACCGUGGCUACACACGUGCUACAAUGGCGCAUACAAAGAGAAGCGACCUCGCGAGAGCAAGCGGACCUCAUAAAGUGCGUCGUAGUCCGGAUUGAGUCUGCAACUCGACUCCAUGAAGUCGGAAUCGCUAGUAAUCGUGGAUCAGAAUGCCACGGUGAAUACGUUCCCGGGCCUUGUACACACCGCCCGUCACACCAUGGGAGUGGGUUGCAAAGAAGUAGGUAGCUUAACCUUCGGGAGGGCGCUUACCACUUUGUGAUUCAUGACUGGGGUGAAGUCGUAACAAGGUAACCGUAGGGGAACCUGCGGUUGGAUCACCUCCUUACCUUAAAGAA